UUGAACAAUUUGGCUCGAGGAUAGUUUUAUUACUGAGUUUAUUUUUUAUGGUUAAUUUUUUAUAAGUAUAUUUAUUUUAUUAUUAUCAGGGAAAAAAUUGAAGGGGGAGUUAUAGGGUAUUAUUGUAUUGUGAAAGAACUAGAUUAUAUUUGUUAUAAGAAAAAUUUAUUUUUUGUACCUUGUGUCUCAGGGUUUAUUAAAUUAUUUUAUGGAUUUAAAUUUCCCGAUUUUCGAAGGGCUAUUAUUUUAUUUUUUUAUUGUGUCAUAAAUAUUUUUAAUAAGGUAAUGGAAAUGAAACGUUAUUCGUUUUGAAAUGUAUCUGGUUUUCUAAGAAACGAAUUUAAUUCGGCUUUUGUUGAUUGUUGAUUCUUAUUGGACAGGUCGGCGCUAUGCAAGAAGAAAUUUAUGCGGGGACAAGCUCGUUUAAAAAUUUUUAUUUAAUUGGAGUUUAACUAGGCUAGUAGGAUUAAAAUUUUCCACCAUUUGUAGUAUGUUGUAGUUGGCCUUGUUUAAUAUUAUAUUUUUAUAUUUAAUAAGUUUAUUAUUAGAACAUUGUUUUGAAUUUUACCGAUCGAGAAAAAUUGAUAGAAUUAGUAUAUUUUUAUGUAUCUUUAUAGUCUUAAGAAUUGGAAGAAUUAAAGGAAUUCGGCAAAACUAACCUCCACCUGUUUAUUAAAAACAUGGCCUUUUGAGUAUAAUAUAAGGUCUGGCCUGCUCUAUGAGGUAUUAAAUGGCCGCAGUAAUUUGACUGUGCUAAGGUAGCAUAAUCAUUAGUCUUUUAAUUGGGGGCUGGAAUGAAAGGUUUGAUGAGAGGGCGGCUGUCUCUAUUUCUUUGUUAGAAUUUUAUUUUUGAGUGAGAAAGCUCAAAUUUUUUUGAAAGACGAGAAGACCCUAUAGAGUUUUAUAAGUUCUUUUUUUAUUUAUUUAUGAAAAUUAUCGUAAUAAAGAAAUAGCUUAUUUGGUUGGGGUGAUUGUAAAAUUCAUUUAACUUUUAUUUUUAAUAACCACUGAUGAGUGUUGUUGUGAUCCGGGUGGGCCCGAUUAUAAGAAUAAAUUACCUUAGGGAUAACAGCGUAAUCCUUUUUUAGAGUUCUAAUCGAGAAAGGGGGUUGCGACCUCGAUGUUGGAUUAAAGUUAGCUUGGGGUGCAAAAGCUCUGGGGCUGGGUCUGUUCGACCUUUAAAAUUUUACAUGAUCUGAGUUUAAACCGGCGUGAGCCAGGUUGGUUUCUAUCUUCAAUUUGAUGGGAAAUUUUAGUACGAAAGGACCAAAUUUCGGGCCGAAUGGCUUAUUUGUGAAUAGUAUUGUUAUUUUGGCAGAAUAGUGCAAUUGAUUUAGGAUCUUUAAAUGUAAUCAUAUUACAAG
rnacentral:rRNA from 1 species